CCUACGGGGGGCUGCAGUGGGGAAUAUUGCACAAUGGGCGCAAGCCUGAUGCAGCCAUGCCGCGUGUGUGAAGAAGGCCUUCGGGUUGUAAAGCACUUUCAGCGGGGAGGAAGGCGUUAAGGUUAAUAACCUUGGCGAUUGACGUUACCCGCAGAAGAAGCACCGGCUAACUCCGUGCCAGCAGCCGCGGUAAUACGGAGGGUGCAAGCGUUAAUCGGAAUUACUGGGCGUAAAGCGCACGCAGGCGGUCUGUCAAGUCGGAUGUGAAAUCCCCGGGCUCAACCUGGGAACUGCAUUCGAAACUGGCAGGCUAGAGUCUUGUAGAGGGGGGUAGAAUUCCAGGUGUAGCGGUGAAAUGCGUAGAGAUCUGGAGGAAGACCGGUGGCGAAGGCGGCCCCCUGGACAAAGACUGACGCUCAGGUGCGAAAGCGUGGGGAGCAAACAGGAUUAGAUACCCGAGUAGUC
rnacentral:rRNA from 1 species